rnacentral:lncRNA from 1 species
CUCUCCCCCUACGAACCCCUCUCCCUCGCCGCCGCCACCAACCACGCCGACCUAUAUCGGCGAGCUCCGUCGACGGGAAGUUCUCCCCUGAGCUCCCCAAGCUCCACGCCUCCUUCUCCUCUAUCCAUAAUCCACGCUCCUGCCCUCCAUCGCCCCCAUGGCUAGCUAGGGUUUCGGUAGCCACUUCAUCUCCGACGACAGCGAGUCGAGCGGCCAGAUCUGCCAUGGCCACAACGUGCCUUCUGGAUC